rnacentral:rRNA from 1 species
UACGUAGGGUGCAAGCGUUGUCCGGAAUUAUUGGGCGUAAAGAGCUCGUAGGUGGCUUGUCACGUCGGGUGUGAAAGCUUGGGGCUUAACUCCAGGUCUGCAUUCGAUACGGGCUGGCUAGAGGUAGGUAGGGGAGAACGGAAUUCCUGGUGUAGCGGUGAAAUGCGCAGAUAUCAGGAGGAACACCGGUGGCGAAGGCGGGUCUCUGGGCCGAUACUGACGCUGAGGAGCGAAAGCGUGGGGAGCGAACAGG